GCGCACACAGGUGCUGCAUGGCUGUCGUCAGCUCGUGUCGUGAGAUGUGGGUUAAGUCCCGCAACGAGCGCAACNCACGUCCUUAGUUGCCAUCAUUCAGUUGGGCACUCUAGGGAGACUGCCGGUGAUAAGCCGCGAGGAAGGUGUGGAUGACGUCAAGUCCUCAUGGCCCUUACGGGAUGGGCUACACACGUGCUACAAUGGCGGUGACAGUGGGACGCGAAGGGGCGACCUGGAGCAAAUCCCCAAAAGCCGUCUCAGUUCGGAUUGCACUCUGCAACUCGGGUGCAUGAAGGCGGAAUCGCUAGUAAUCGUGGAUCAGCAUGCCACGGUGAAUACGUUCCCGGGCCUUGUACACACCGCCCGUCACACCAUGGGAGUUGGUCUUACCCGACGGCGCUGCGCCAACCGCAAGGGGGCAGGCGACCACGGUAGGGUCAGCGACUGGGGUGAAGUCGUAACAAGGUACCAAUCCCGCGG
rnacentral:rRNA from 1 species